UCCACGCCGUAAACGAUGUCAACUAGCCGUUGGGCCUAUUUAUGGGCUUAGUGGCGGAGCUAACGUAUUAAGUUGACCGCCUGGGGAGUACGGCCGCAAGGUUAAAACUCAAAUGAAUUGACGGGGGCCCGCACAAGCGGUGGAGCAUGUGGUUUAAUUCGAUGCAACGCGAAGAACCUUACCUACCCUUGACAUCCAGAGAAUCUGUUAGAGAUAGUAGAGUGCCUUCGGGAGCUCUGAGACAGGUGCUGCAUGGCUGUCGUCAGCUCGUGUCGUGAGAUGUUGGGUUAAGUCCCGUAACGAGCGCAACCCCUAUCCUUAGUUGCUAACAUUAAGUUGAGAACUCUAGGGAGACUGCCGGUGAUAAACCGG
rnacentral:rRNA from 1 species